rnacentral:rRNA from 1 species
AGAUAUGAUCCAGAGUACCACGGGACACGUGAAACCCUGUGGGAAGCAGGAGGGACCACCCUCCAAGGCUAAAUACUACCUAGUGACCGAUAGCGUAUAGUACCGUGAGGGAAAGGUGAAAAGAACCCCGGGAGGGGAGUGAAAUAGAACCUGAAACCCUGCACUUACAAGCUGUGGAAGCACAUUUCUUGUGUGACCGCGUACUUUUUGUAGAACGGGCCAACGAGUUACGUUAAGUAGCAAGGUUAAGCACUUAAGGUGCGGAGCCGUAGCGAAAGCGAGUUUUAACUGAGCGUUCAGUUACUUGACGUAGACCCGAAACCGGGCGACCUACCCAUGAGCAGGAUGAAGCGAAAGUAAAAUUUCGUGGAGGUCCGAACCCACGAGCGUUGAAAAGCUCGGGGAUGACUUGUGGGUAGCGGUGAAAUUCCAAUCGAGCCCGGAGAUAGCUGGUUCUCCCCGAAAUAGCUUUAGGGCUAGCCUCAAGGUGAGAGAUACGGAGGUAGAGCACUGAAUGUCCUAGGGGGUAUUGCACCUACCGAAGACUAUCAAACUCCGAAUGCCGUCAUCUUAUACUUGGGAGUCAGACUGUGGGUGAUAAGAUUCAUAGUCGAAAGGGCAACAGCCCAGAUCGUCAGCUAAGGUCCCUAAAUGUAAGUUAAGUGGUAAAGGAUGUGGGAUUGCACAGACAACCAGGAUGUUGGCUUAGAAGCAGCCACUCAUUCAAAGAGUGCGUAAUAGCUCACUGGUCGAGUGAUCCUGCGCCGAAGAUUUCCGGGGCUAAAACUUACUACCGAAGCUACGGCAUCAGUAAUGAUGGGUAGGGGAGCUUCCCAUACGGGUUGAAGCAUGACCGUAAGGACAUGUGGACAGUAUGGGAGUGAGAAUGUUGGCAUGAGUAGCGAGAUGUGGGUGAGAAUCCCACAGGCCGUAAACCCAAGGUUUCCAGGGGAAGGUUCGUCCGCCCUGGGUUAGUCGGGACCUAAGCUGAGGCCGAAAGGCGUAGGUGAUGGACAACAGGUUGAUAUUCCUGUAC